AGAGUUUGAUCCUGGCUCAGGAUGAACGCUAGCGGGAGGCUUAACACAUGCAAGUCGAGCGGGAUUAGCAGCAAUGCUAUGAGAGCGGCGGAUGGGUGCGUAACGCGUAUGCAACCUGCCUUAUACAGGGGAAUAGCCCAUGGAAACGUGGAUUAAUGUCCCAUAGAAUCAUGAUAUCGCAUGGUACUAUGAUUAAAACUGAGGUGGUAUAAGAUGGGCAUGCGUCUGAUUAGGUGGUUGGUGAGGUAAUGGCUCACCAAGCCGACGAUCAGUAGGGGUUCUGAGAGGAUUACCCCCCACACUGGUACUGAGACACGGACCAGACUCCUACGGGAGGCAGCAGUGAGGAAUAUUGGUCAAUGGCCGGAAGGCUGAACCAGCCAUCCCGCGUGCAGGAUGACGGCCCUAUGGGUUGUAAACUGCUUUUGUACCUGAAGAAUAGGCCCAACGAGUUGGGAUUGCCGGUAAGGUA
rnacentral:rRNA from 1 species